GUUAAGAACAGGGAAGCUGAGCUCCAGACAGACUAAGCUAAGUAUGGGUCCAAGGCCAUAUGCAGAGGAAAGAGGUAGGUGUUCCAUUUAACUCAAGACUGUUUCCUUAGCUCCUAAACCAGGCAUAACACAGGCCACAAACAUCUACUCUGAAGAGGCGGCCAGUGGUUACGGAUGUCGUUUAGCUGCAUCCAGGUGGUGAAGGUGGAGGACCAAGCAUUCACGGUCAUCCUUACAAGCUUAAGAUCAACCUGGAUUGUAUGAGCCUCACCGGUCCAAUAAAAAAGGAAGUGGGAGAGGGGAAGAGAGAGAAAGUAAAUAGUGUCAAGAAAGA